CAAAAAUAUUAAAGCACGUAUCUGAAUAUACUAGUUUUAAAUCAGUUUUCUAAGUGCAUGUUGACAUAUUCGGGAAAUGGUGGCGUUACUAUUAUGGAAUUAUUGCUCGUCUUCUCCAUUGACAUCCAGAGUAUGCUGGUGCACAAUUUCCGGAUCCUCCAUUUUCGAUUCAUCCUUCCGAUUUUCAUCGACGUUUUCCGAAGAUAUCUCUCGGCCAUGCUCGUCCAGGAGUUUGAUGGUCGUCGUUUCCACUUCUGCACCACCUUCGUCUCCGAACGCCCCGGCGCCGCCCCUCAGGUUACGCCUCGCGUGCAUCGUAUAGACACCGUUGUGGACUAAGGAAGACACAAGAAGGGACCGUUAAUGGAAGAAGAAUAAGAAAUUAAUCAGCCGAUCCGGCCUCUCUCUGCUGGCAGUCCCCGUGUCGGCCACAGUCCUACGGGAGUGUGAGGCAGACACCUGAGCUUUGAGGGUCCGGGAAUUGGCUCUGAUCCUCUCCAUCAGGAACUUUCCAGGGUCAUCCUCCUCCGCUUCUU